rnacentral:rRNA from 1 species
UACGUAGGGAGCAAGCGUUGUCCGGAAUCAUUGGGCGUAAAGCGCGCGUAGGCGGCCCUGUAAGUCCGUUGUGAAAGUCAAAGGCUCAACCUUUGAAAGCCGAUGGAUACUGCAGGGCUAGAGUCCGGAAGAGGCGAGUGGAAUUCCUGGUGUAGCGGUGGAAUGCGCAGAUAUCAGGAGGAACACCAAUAGCGAAGGCAGCUCGCUGGGACGGUACUGACGCUAAGGUGCGAAAGCGUGGGGAGCGAACAGG